GACAACACUGCCUGCUAGUAGUUCUUAUUCUUAUAUAGUAGUACUAUUUUGCUUUUUAUGAAAUCUCUCCUUUUUAGCUUCUUGUACAUAUUCUUAUAUUUUGCUUUUUAUGAAAUCAUUUUCCUUACAAAUUAGCCAUCCAUCUCAUCUACGUGUUGCCCGAUUUAGGGCCCUGGACAUAUUGACUGACCCUUGCGCUAACGAAUUUCUCACCUUAUCAUUUUUAUCUUUCCCGCGGGCGCUGAAUUCUGAGUAGAAGGGAGGUCGUCAAUCUUUUUGAGGUGUCUGGCUGUGUUGGCGCAGCCACAGAGAGAGAGAGAGAGAGAUAGAGAGAGAGAAGGACAGGACAAAAAAAGAAUAGUUGUAGCACAAUUUCAGCUAGGAGGAAUCCGGAGCAAAAGAUGGGUUACGUGAUAGUGAUCUCUUUGCCUCUGAUUCUGCUAUUCUUGAUUGCUGCCAUCGCCUGCUAUCUACUUGGUAGGGCAAGCGGCCGAGGAGAGGCUGCUGGUAGGCCUCCCCGGUAUUAUGGGCCUCCAGCGCCUCCAAUUGCAGCUCAAAUCCCUCCUCCGGAGAAGUAAUAGUUUCAUUUCCUGGAUAUAGUGGUACUAAUCUUGUAUGUUCUCAUGUGUAUCAUUCUUCUGUAAUUAUUUUGUUCUUUUUUUGGGUUGGUGGUAAAUAUGUGUGCAUCUGCUUCAACAUCCAAUAUGUUGAUAGAGUUAAAAUUUACUAAUUAGUCAAUAAGCACGCCAUGGAUGGUUUCUAUAAAUUAAUGCCUGAAAAGUGCAUCUCAUGGACGACUGAAAAGGAAGUUCAAAAUGCAAUCCUCCUGGCAACAUAGGAGUUCUCAAGAAAACAGCAGAUGGCCAGAAUGAUUAUUGCAGGGGUUAGCCACUACCAAACUUCCAUGUUAUGAGUGGUCUAAGAAGCAACAAACUUGGAAAGCAUCUAAUCUAAUCGAAGUGAUUUUAGUCCGUCUAUGUUUUGCCACCUUCUAUAGUUGUUAUUUUGGCUGUGAAAAGAUUAAACCAUCUUCCAUUUCCCGA